UUACCAUUCUUACGAAUCAAUCAUGAUUCGUUUCCGUAAUUACGUGACCAUAGAACCGGCCUAUAUAUACCUGGUCGUUCCUGAAGAAUACACACCACUCUUCCAACUCGAAACUACACCUCACCCUCUGUUCCUCUGCAAUUAGCCGGUACAUUCGCCGGAGAUUGGAGCCCACCGGAGACGUCGCCGGAGCAAACGACAUAUAGCGGAGAAGACGACCGGAACAACCGCACGCUGCCGGAGGCUAAACCACAACCGUCGGAGCUCGGAGAAAACGCACCCGAGAUCACCGGGACUGGCUCGCGUUGUGCUCGGGUAAUCUUGAUCGUUCUUUUGGUUUUUCCCAAUCUCUACUCGUACGUUCUUACAAGAAUCGCAACGCAAUCAAUGUAAAACACCAUGUAGAUGAAGAAAUUGUACAUAUCAGAUUAGGGAGUUCAAGGUUUCCAAUAAUUGUAGUCAUCACCACUGUUAAGUCGAGAGGUACUAGGAAAGAAGCAAGCAACCUAGCAUCUCAAAUAAUUGUAGCAAGCUAACAUACAAGUAAAGGAAAGUCACACCUGAAAUUUGAAAAUAAGCAACAGAGAGGAGAGAAUUAAUUGAAACAAGUAAUUAUUCAUCAAGGUCUAAGCAGUCACAACAAAGGAUUCGAUCAUCAUUAGGCAACAAGAAAAAGAACCAAACAAAAAUGCGGUUGGUGAAGUGAAAGGAGUGGCGGAUAAGCACAAAAGAACAGUUGUGAUGGCUCGCCAAGCUAAAGCCUUUAUCACUCUUUCGGGGAAAGUUGGACAAGUGCCUAGGUAGUUGUGAGAGGGAAAUGGCUACCAGUUUUAGUGAGGAGAUCGAGGUUAGCAAAUCGUUAGAAGGCUUGUCAAACCAACACCGGUCUGGGAGUGGUCAUCUUAUGCUAACAUGUUAUCAUAUUACCUUCUUUUUGUAAAUGCAAUUUGUACCUUUUCUCUUACAACGCUUGACUCAGAUGUUUAUAUUUAGGGUUUACUCUUUUGGUGCUCUAGCGAGUGCCGAUGUUGUAACGAAUGAAACAAAACCGAACUGUCUUUUUGGCUUUUAUGAAAUGUGAAUGUGAACCGGCCGCAACGCGGCGGGUGUUACAUCUAGUUAUUUUGAA